CCUACGGGUGGCAGCAGUGAGGAAUAUUGGUCAAUGGGCGUGAGCCUGAACCAGCCAAGUAGCGUGAAGGAUGACUGCCCUAUGGGUUGUAAACCUCUUUUAUAAAGGAAUAAAGUGAGGCACGUGUGCCGUUUUGUAUGUACUUUAUGAAUAAGGAUCGGCUAACUCCGUGCCAGCAGCCGCGGUAAUACGGAGGAUCCGAGCGUUAUCCGGAUUUAUUGGGUUUAAAGGGUGCGUAGGUGGGUUGUUAAGUCAGUUGUGAAAGUUUGCGGCUCAACCGUAAAAUUGCAGUUGAAACUGGCAGUCUUGAGUACGGUUGAGGUAUGCGGAAUGCGUGGUGUAGCGGUGAAAUGCUUAGAUAUCACGCAGAACUCCGAUUGCGAAGGCAGCUUACCAAGCCGCGACUGACGUUGAUGCACGAAAGUGUGGGUAUCAAACAGGAUUAGAUACCCGUGUAGUC
rnacentral:rRNA from 1 species